GCAUCGGCGGGCCAGGAGGCGGAGGCGAACGAGGGAGGCGAGGGAGGCAGCCAGGCCCAGAGUCACUCAGUCCUUGCCAGAGCGGCGGAGUGUGUGGGCGCGCGGGUGGAUUCGCUCCAGUGCUAGCAGUGGAGAGAGAGAGAGAGAGAGAGAGAGAGAGAGAGAGAGAGAGAGAGAGAGAGAGGAGAGAGAGAGAGAGAGAGAGAGAGAGAGAGAGAGAGAGGAGAAGGAGAGGAGAGAGACUGAGCGUGUUUAGCGCAACGAACUUUUUGACUCCUGCAUUUCUGGCGUAAACAUGCGAACUUGAUAACUUGAUUCGUCUCAAAGUCCCCUUAAUGAAAACAAAUAGAGGAAAGAGAGGAAGGAAAAAUUAAAAUAAAACUUGAGAUGUAAGCCAAAUCUCGACCUAAAACACAAACACAGACCCUGAGAUAAGAGGUGAUCAAAUAUACAAGAGACAAACAUAGACAAAAAAGAAGGGAAAAAGGAGAGAGCGAGAGAGAGAGGGAGAGAGAGAGAGAGAAUAAUAAUAAGAAGAGAAGAGGAUGGGAACCAAUGCGAAAGACAAGUGACGUCAUGACCUGGGUGGACGAUCAUCAGGGAUUACUGAAGCUCCAUCAAUGACUGGAUAAGUGAUGAGUACCGCCGGGGGGAGCGGCAGGGGGGGCGCCGUCCCCCCCAAGCGCCCCCCCUCCACCUCACAAUCUCCCCCCCACGCCCCCCAUGGCGGCCAGCGGGGGAAGGGGGGUGGCCAGCCCCAACCUCUCCCCAAAGGGGUUGGGUGGGGGAAUGGUCCUCGGCCAGGCAACCUCGCAGAGUAAAAGGUAAGUCGCCUUCUGUUCACCCGUGGCUCUGGCGGCUCUCGGGCUCAUUGGCUGUGCCCCUGCUUUAUCUGUCGUUCGAUUAUUUCAGACUC